rnacentral:rRNA from 1 species
AGUGAACGCUGGCGGUAGGCCUAACACAUGCAAGUCGAACGGCAGCACAGAGGAGCUUGCUCCUUGGGUGGCGAGUGGCGGACGGGUGAGGAAUACAUCGGAAUCUACUCUGUCGUGGGGGAUAACGUAGGGAAACUUACGCUAAUACCGCAUACGACCUACGGGUGAAAGCAGGGGACCUUCGGGCCUUGCGCGAUUGAAUGAGCCGAUGUCGGAUUAGCUAGUUGGCGGGGUAAAGGCCCACCAAGGCGACGAUCCGUAGCUGGUCUGGGAGGAUGAUCAGCCACACUGGAAGUGAGACACGGUCAAGCAUCCUACGGGAGGCAGCAGUGGGGAAUAUUGGACAAUGGGCGCAAGCCUGAUCCAGCCAUACCGCGUGGGUGAAGAAGGCCUUCGGGUUGUAAAGCCCUUUUGUUGGGAAAGAAAUCCAGCUGGCUAAUACCCGGUUGGGAUGACGGUACCCAAAGAAUAAGCACCGGCUAACUUCGUGCCAGCAGCCGCCGUAA